rnacentral:tRNA from 1 species
AGGGGUGUAGCUCAGUUGGUAGAGCGCCGGUCUCCAAAACCGUAGGUCCACAGUUCGAGUCUGUGUACCCCUGCCA